GUGAAAAUAUGAGGUCAGACUGCCAGACGCCAUUUCACAGCUGAACGGAGCACGAGGAGAACAACAGGUGUUAAUGGUUUAUCUCUCAGACUGAAGAAGAUGAGUGAUUUUGAGGAAGAGGACGAGUCUCCAGUCUCCAGCUGUCUGAAGAUCGUCCGGUCUAUGGGGGAUCCUCCAGUCUUCAGUAAUGAACCUGGACCCUCAGACACAAGAGGGAAGAGGAAGAGUGGUGUUCCUGUGGAGGAGCA